rnacentral:rRNA from 1 species
AACGAACGCUGGCGGCAUGCCUAACACAUGCAAGUCGAACGAGAUCUUCGGGUCUAGUGGCGCACGGGUGCGUAACGCGUGGGAAUCUGCCCUUUGGUUCGGAAUAACAGUUGGAAACGACUGCUAAUACCGGAUGAUGACGAAAGCCCAAAGAUUUAUCGCCAGAGGAUGAGCCCGCGUAGGAUUAGCUAGUUGGUGUGGUAAAGGCGCACCAAGGCGACGAUCCUUAGCUGGUCUGAGAGGAUGAUCAGCCACACUGGGACUGAGACACGGCCCAGACUCCUACGGGAGGCAGCAGUGGGGAAUAUUUGACAAUGGGCGAAAGCCUGAUCCAGCAAUGCCGCGUGAGUGAUGAAGGCCUUAGGGUUGUAAAGCUCUUUUACCCGGGAUGAUAAUGACAGUACCGGGAGAAUAAGCUCCGGCUAACUCCGUGCCAGCCGCCGCGGUAAUAC